rnacentral:rRNA from 1 species
UACGGAGGGUGCGAGCGUUGUCCGGAAUCACUGGGCGUAAAGCGCACGUAGGCGGCUCUUUAAGUCGGGGGUGAAAUCCUGGAGCUCAACUCCAGAACUGCCUUCGAUACUGUAGAGCUUGAGUUCGGGAGAGGUGAGUGGAACUGCGAGUGUAGAGGUGAAAUUCGUAGAUAUUCGCAAGAACACCAGUGGCGAAGGCGGCUCACUGGCCCGAUACUGACGCUGAGGUGCGAAAGCGUGGGGAGCAAACAGG